rnacentral:tRNA from 1 species
AAUCAAUGAACUUGAAUAAGUAUAUAUUUUGAAAAUAUAAAAAAGAUGUUUAAUCUUCUAUUGAUUU